rnacentral:tRNA from 1 species
GCCCGGGUAGUCUAAUGGUAAGACGUCUGACUAUUAAUCAGAAAGUCUAGGUUCGAAUCCUAGUCCGGGCA